rnacentral:rRNA from 1 species
UGGGGAAUCUUGCGCAAUGGGCGAAAGCCUGACGCAGCCAUGCCGCGUGAAUGAUGAAGGUCUUAGGAUUGUAAAAUUCUUUCACCGGGGACGAUAAUGACGGUACCCGGAGAAGAAGCCCCGGCUAACUUCGUGCCAGCAGCCGCGGUAAUACGAAGGGGGCUAGCGUUGCUCGGAAUUACUGGGCGUAAAGGGAGCGUAGGUGGACUGUUUAGUCAGAGGUGAAAGCCCAGGGCUCAACCUUGGAAUUGCCUUUGAUACUGGCAGUCUUGAGUACGGAAGAGGUAUGUGGAACUCCGAGUGUAGAGGUGAAAUUCGUAGAUAUUCGGAAGAACACCAGUGGCGAAGGCGACAUACUGGUCCGUUACUGACACUGAGGCUCGAAAGCGUGGGGAGCAAACA